GUGAGGAAUAUUGGACAAUGGAUGGAAAUCUGAUCCAGCCAUGCCGCGUGCAGGAAGACGGCCCUAUGGGUUGUAAACUGCUUUUGUAUGGGAGCAAUAAGGGUUACGAGUAGCCUGAUGAGAGUACCAUACGAAUAAGGACCGGCUAACUCCGUGCCAGCAGCCGCGGUAAUACGGAGGGUCCGAGCGUUAUCCGGAUUUAUUGGGUUUAAAGGGUGCGUAGGCGGUUUUAUAAGUCAGCGGUGAAAUUUUCCGACUCAACCGGGGGACUGCCGUUGAUACUGUAAGGCUAGGAUAUGGUUGCUGUGGGUGGAAUGUGUGGUGUAGCGGUGAAAUGCGUAGAGAUCACACAGAAUAUCGAUUGCGAAGGCAGCUCACAAAGCCAUCAUUGACGCUGAGGCACGAAAGUGUGGGGAUCAAACAGGAUUAGAUACCCGGGUAGUCC
rnacentral:rRNA from 1 species